UACCAGGUCUUGACAUCUUCCUAACCUUAGAGAUAAGGCGUUCUUCGGGGACCAAUCACAGGUGGUGCAUGUCGUCUCAGCUCGUGUCGUGAGAUGUUGGGUUAAGUCCCGCAACGAGCGCAACCCUUGUUACUAGUUGCCAGCAUUAAGUUGGGCACUCUAGUGAGACUGCCGGUGACAAACCGGAGGAAGGUGGGGACGACGUCAGAUCAUCAUGCCCCUUAUGACCUGGGCUACACACGUGCUACAAUGGACGGUACAACGAGUCGCAAGCUCGCGAGAGUAAGCUAAUCUCUUAAAGCCGUUCUCAGUUCGGACUGUAGGCUGCAACUCGCCUACACGAAGUCGGAAUCGCUAGUAAUCGCGGAUCAGCAUGCCGCGGUGAAUACGUUCCCGGGCCUUGUACACACCGCCCGUCACACCAUGGGAGUUUGUAACGCCCAAAGUCGGUGGCCUAACCAUUAUGGAGGGAGCGCCUAAGGCGGGACAGAUGACUGUGGGUGAAGUCGUAACAAGGUAACCAAUC
rnacentral:rRNA from 1 species